GACGAACGCUGGCGGCGUGCCUAAUACAUGCAAGUAGAACGCUGAAGGAGGAGCUUGCUCUUCUGGAUGAGUUGCGAACGGGUGAGUAACGCGUAGGUAACCUGCCUGGUAGCGGGGGAUAACUAUUGGAAACGAUAGCUAAUACCGCAUAAGAGUAGAUGUUGCAUGACAUUUACUUAAAAGGUGCAAUUGCAUCACUACCAGAUGGACCUGCGUUGUAUUAGCUAGUUGGUGGGGUAACGGCUUACCAAGGCGACGAUACAUAGCCGACCUGAGAGGGUGAUCGGCCACACUGGGACUGAGACACGGCCCAGACUCCAACGGGAGGCAGCAGUAGGGAAUCUUCGGCAAUGGACGGAAGUCUGACCGAGCAACGCCGCGUGAGUGAAGAAGGGUUUCGGAUCGUAAAGCUCUGUUGUAAGAGAAGAACGAGUGUGAGAGUGGAAAGUUCACACUGUGACGGUAUCUUACCAGAAAGGGACGGCUAACUACGUG
rnacentral:rRNA from 1 species